rnacentral:rRNA from 1 species
UUUGGGCGUGUCUCCCUUCUCGGGAGACUCUCUUGAACCCACGAACCCUUGACCUCAAAUCGGGUGAGACUACCCGCUGAACUUAAGCAUAUCAAUAAGCGGAGGA